AGCGUACACGGUGGAUGCCCUGGCAGUCAGAGGCGAUGAAGGGCGUGCUAAUCUGCGAUAAGCGCCGGUAAGGUGAUAUGAACCGUUAUAACCGGCGAUACCCGAAUGGGGAAACCCAGUGUGAUUCGUCACACUAUCAUUAACUGAAUCCAUAGGUUAAUGAGGCGAACCGGGGGAACUGAAACAUCUAAGUACCCCGAGGAAAAGAAAUCAACCGAGAUUCCCCCAGUAGCGGCGAGCGAACGGGGAGGAGCCCAGAGCCUGAAUCAGCAUGUGUGUUAGUGGAAGCGUCUGGAAAGGCGCGCGAUACAGGGUGACAGCCCCGUACACAAAAGCGCAUGUGCUGUGAGCUCGAUGAGUAGGGCGGGACACGUGGUAUCCUGUCUGAAUAUGGGGGGACCAUCCUCCAAGGCUAAAUACUCCUGACUGACCGAUAGUGAACCAGUACCGUGAGGGAAAGGCGAAAAGAACCCCGGCGAGGGGAGUGAAAAAGAACCUGAAACCGUGUACGUACAAGCAGUGGGAGCACAGGUUUACCUGUGUGACUGCGUACCUUUUGUAUAAUGGGUCAGCGACUUAUAUUCUGUAGCAAGGUUAACCGAAUAGGGGAGCCGGAGGGAAACCGAGUCUUAACCGGGCGUUAAGUUGCAGGGUAUAGACCCGAAACCCGGUGAUCUAGCCAUGGGCAGGUUGAAGGUUGGGUAACACUAACUGGAGGACCGAACCGACUAAUGUUGAAAAAUUAGCGGAUGACCUGUGGCUGGGGGUGAAAGGCCAAUCAAACCGGGAGAUAGCUGGUUCUCCCCGAAAGCUAUUUAGGUAGCGCCUCGUGAAUUCAUCUCCGGGGGUAGAGCACUGUUUCGGCUAGGGGGCCAUCCCGGCUUACCAACCCGAUGCAAACUGCGAAUACCGGAGAAUGUUAUCACGGGAGACACACGGCGGGUGCUAACGUCCGUCGUGAAGAGGGAAACAACCCAGACCGCCAGCUAAGGUCCCAAAGUCAUGGUUAAGUGGGAAACGAUGUGGGAAGGCCCAGACAGCCAGGAUGUUGGCUUAGAAGCAGCCAUCAUUUAAAGAAAGCGUAAUAGCUCACUGGUCGAGUCGGCCUGCGCGGAAGAUGUAACGGGGCUAAACCAUGCACCGAAGCUGCGGCAGCGACACUGUGUGUUGUUGGGUAGGGGAGCGUUCUGUAAGCCUGCGAAGGUGGCCUGUGAGGGUUGCUGGAGGUAUCAGAAGUGCGAAUGCUGACAUAAGUAACGAUAAAGCGGGUGAAAAGCCCGCUCGCCGGAAGACCAAGGGUUCCUGUCCAACGUUAAUCGGGGCAGGGUGAGUCGACCCCUAAGGCGAGGCCGAAAGGCGUAGUCGAUGGGAAACGGGUUAAUAUUCCCGUACUUGGUGUUACUGCGAAGGGGGGACGGAGAAGGCUAUGUUGGCCGGGCGACGGUUGUCCCGGUUUAAGCGUGUAGGUGUGUGUUCCAGGUAAAUCCGGUUCACUUUAACACUGAGGCGUGACGACGAGGCACUACGGUGCUGAAGCAACAAAUGCCCUGCUUCCAGGAAAAGCCUCUAAGCAUCAGGUAACAUCAAAUCGUACCCCAAACCGACACAGGUGGUCAGGUAGAGAAUACCAAGGCGCUUGAGAGAACUCGGGUGAAGGAACUAGGCAAAAUGGUGCCGUAACUUCGGGAGAAGGCACGCUGACACGUAGGUGAAGUGAUUUACUCAUGGAGCUGAAGUCAGUCGAAGAUACCAGCUGGCUGCAACUGUUUAUUAAAAACACAGCACUGUGCAAACACGAAAGUGGACGUAUACGGUGUGACGCCUGCCCGGUGCCGGAAGGUUAAUUGAUGGGGUCAGCGCAAGCGAAGCUCCUGAUCGAAGCCCCGGUAAACGGCGGCCGUAACUAUAACGGUCCUAAGGUAGCGAAAUUCCUUGUCGGGUAAGUUCCGACCUGCACGAAUGGCGUAAUGAUGGCCAGGCUGUCUCCACCCGAGACUCAGUGAAAUUGAACUCGCUGUGAAGAUGCAGUGUACCCGCGGCAAGACGGAAAGACCCCGUGAACCUUUACUAUAGCUUGACACUGAACAUUGAGCCUUGAUGUGUAGGAUAGGUGGGAGGCUUUGAAGUGUGGACGCCAGUCUGCAUGGAGCCGACCUUGAAAUACCACCCUUUAAUGUUUGAUGUUCUAACGUGGACCCGUUACCCGGGUUGCGGACAGUGUCUGGUGGGUAGUUUGACUGGGGCGGUCUCCUCCUAAAGAGUAACGGAGGAGCACGAAGGUUGGCUAAUCCUGGUCGGACAUCAGGAGGUUAGUGCAAUGGCAUAAGCCAGCUUGACUGCGAGCGUGACGGCGCGAGCAGGUGCGAAAGCAGGUCAUAGUGAUCCGGUGGUUCUGAAUGGAAGGGCCAUCGCUCAACGGAUAAAAGGUACUCCGGGGAUAACAGGCUGAUACCGCCCAAGAGUUCAUAUCGACGGCGGUGUUUGGCACCUCGAUGUCGGCUCAUCACAUCCUGGGGCUGAAGUAGGUCCCAAGGGUAUGGCUGUUCGCCAUUUAAAGUGGUACGCGAGCUGGGUUUAGAACGUCGUGAGACAGUUCGGUCCCUAUCUGCCGUGGGCGCUGGAGAACUGAGGGGGGCUGCUCCUAGUACGAGAGGACCGGAGUGGACGCAUCACUGGUGUUCGGGUUGUCAUGCCAAUGGCACUGCCCGGUAGCUAAAUGCGGAAGAGAUAAGUGCUGAAAGCAUCUAAGCACGAAACUUGCCCCGAGAUGAGUUCU
rnacentral:rRNA from 1 species